GAUGAACGCUGACAGAAUGCUUAACACAUGCAAGUCAACUGUGGCGGACGGGUGAGUAACGCGUAAAGAACUUGCCUCACAGUUAGGGACAACAUUUGGAAACGAAUGCUAAUACCUGAUACUGUGAGAGUGCUUUGCGUCCCAUUAGCUAGUUGGAGAGGUAACGGUUCACCAAGGCGAUGAUGGGUAGCCGGCCUGGGAGGGUGAUCGGCCACAAGGGGACUGGGACCCGGCCCUUACUCCUACGGGAGGAAGCAGCGGGGAAUUGUGGACAAUGGGCCAAAGUCUGAUCCAGCAAUUCUGUGUGCAAGGUGAUGUUUUCGGAAGGUAAAGUGCUUUCAGUUGGGAAGCGUUACCAACAGAAGAAGUGACGGCUAAAUACGUGCCAGCAGCCGCGGUAAUAC
rnacentral:rRNA from 1 species